UGGGGAAUCUUGCGCAAUGCGCGAAAGCGUGACGCAGCAACGCCGCGUGCGGGAAGACGGCCUUCGGUUGUGAAAUCCGCAUUUCAGUUGGGACGAAGCUUCGCCGGUGAACAGCCGGCCGGAGUGACGGUACCUUCAGAAGAAGCCCCGGCUAACUACGUGCCAGCAGCCGCGGUAAUACGUAGGGGGCAAGCGUUGUCCGGAAUCAUUGGGCGUAAAGCGCGUGUAGGCGGCUAGGUAAGUCUGCUCUGAAAGCCCGGGGCUCAACCCCGGGACGGGCGGGGUGGAUACUGUCUAGCUCGAGUCCGGAAGAGGAGUGUGGAAUUCCUGGUGUAGCGGUGAAAUGCGCAGAUAUCAGGAGGAACACCCAAUGGCGAAGGCAGCACUCUGGGGACGUGACUGACGCUGAGACGCGAAAAGCGUGGGAGCAAAACA
rnacentral:rRNA from 1 species